GAGUUUGAUCGUGGCUCAGGAUGAACGCUGGCGGCGUACCUAACGCAUGCAAGUCGAACGGACCUUGGUAGCAAUAUUGAGGUUAGUGGCAAACGGGUGAGUAACACGUAGGGAUCUACCUUGAAGUGGGGAAUAACGGACCGAAAGGUUCGCUAAUACCGCAUGGGGUCGCGAGACCAAAGGUUGUUUCUAACGAAACGAUCGCUUUAAGAGGAGCCUGCGUUCGAUCAGGUAGUUGGUGAGGUAACGGCUCACCAAGCCGAUGACCGAUAGCUGUUCUGAGAGGAAGAUCAGCCACACUGGGACUGUGACACGGCCCAGACUCCUACGGGAGGCAGCAGCGAGGAAUAUUGCACAAUGGAGGAAACUCUGAUGCAGUAACGCCGCGUGGGGGAAGAAGACCUGGUGUAACUACUUUUGUAAAGUACGAGUGAGGACGGUAGUUGUCAGAAUAAGUACUCGG
rnacentral:rRNA from 1 species